rnacentral:rRNA from 1 species
UAGAGUUUGAUCCUGGCUCAGGAUGAACUCUAGCUACAGGCUUAACACAUGCAAGUCGAGGGGCAGCAUGAACUUAGCUUGCUAAGUUUGAUGGCGACCGGCGCACGGGUGAGUAACACGUAUCCAACCUGCCGAUGACUCGGGGAUAGCCUUUCGAAAGAAAGAUUAAUACCCGAUGGCAUAGUUCUUCCGCAUGGUAGGACUAUUAAAGAAUUUCGGUCAUCGAUGGGGAUGCGUUCCAUUAGCUUGUUGGCGGGGUAACGGCCCACCAAGGCAUCGAUGGAUAGGGGUUCUGAGAGGAAGGUCCCCCACAUUGGAACUGAGACACGGUCCAAACUCCUACGGGAGGCAGCAGUGAGGAAUAUUGGUCAAUGGGCGCUAGCCUGAACCAGCCAAGUAGCGUGAAGGAUGACUGCCCUAUGGGUUGUAAACUUCUUUUAUAUGGGAAUAAAGUGCAGUAUGUAUACUGCUUUGCAUGUACCUUAUGAAUAAGGAUCGGCUAACUCCGUGCCAGCAGCCGCGGUAAUACGGAGGAUCCGAGCGUUAUCCGGAUUUAUUGGGUUUAAAGGGAGCGUAGGCGGGUUGUUAAGUCAGUUGUGAGAGUUUGCGGCUCAACCGUUAAAAUUGCAGUUGAUACUGGCAUCCUUGAGUACAGUAGAGGUAGGCGGAAUUCGUGGUGUAGCGGUGAAAUGCUUAGAUAUCACGAAGAACUCCGAUUGCGAAGGCAGCCUGCUGGACUGUAACUGACGCUGAUGCUCGAAAGUGUGGGUAUCAAACAGGAUUAGAUACCCUGGUAGUCCACGCAGUAAACGAUGAAUGCUAGUUGUCCGGGGCGAUUGAGUUCUGGGUGACACAGCGAAAGCGAUAAGCAUUCCACCUGGGGAGUACGCCGGCAACGGUGAAACUCAAAGGAAUUGACGGGGGCCCGCACAAGCGGAGGAACAUGUGGUUUAAUUCGAUGAUACGCGAGGAACCUUACCCGGGCUCAAACGGGGAGUGACUCAGGCAGAGACGCCUGUUUCCCACGGGACACUCCCCGAGGUGCUGCAUGGUUGUCGUCAGCUCGUGCCGUGAGGUGUCGGCUUAAGUGCCAUAACGAGCGCAACCCCCGCGUGCAGUUGCUAACAGAUAACGCUGAGGACUCUGCACGGACUGCCGGCGCAAGCCGCGAGGAAGGCGGGGAUGACGUCAAAUCAGCACGGCCCUUACGUCCGGGGCGACACACGUGUUACAAUGGGUGGUACAGCGGGAAGCCAGGCGGCGACGCCGAGCGGAACCCGAAAUCCACUCUCAGUUCGGAUCGGAGUCUGCAACCCGACUCCGUGAAGCUGGAUUCGCUAGUAAUCGCGCAUCAGCCAUGGCGCGGUGAAUACGUUCCCGGGCCUUGCACACACCGCCCGUCA